UACAGAGGGUGCGAGCGUUGUUCGGAAUUACUGGGCGUAAAGCGCGCGCAGGCGGCUGCUUAAGUCCGUCGGUCAAAUGCCGGGGCUCAACCCCGAGCGUGCCGAGGAUACUGGGCAGCUGGAGACAUGUAGAGGCAAGCGGAAUUCCGGGUGUAGCGGUGGAAUGCGUAGAGAUCCGGAAGAACACCGGAGGCGAAGGCGGCUUGCUGGGCAUGAUCUGACGCUGAGGCGCGAAAGCGUGGGGAGCGAACAGG
rnacentral:rRNA from 1 species